rnacentral:sRNA from 1 species
UCACCGAACCCGGAGGACACCAUGAAGUUCAAGCACAUCCUGAUGCUCACCCUCGGUGCUGCCGCAGUGGCCGCGCUUCCUGCCAUGGCCCAGGCCGCUCCUCAGCAGACCGGGCAGGGCGCCGGCGCCAGCGCGCAGAAGGCCGAUGACGCCAAGGCCAAGACCGAAGCCGAGCGCAAGGCCGAGCGCCGCGCCGCUGCUGCGGCACACAAGCCCAAGGCCGACGCCGCCACGCGCGAGGAAGAGGAAGAGGAAGAAGAAAAGCCGGCGCGCUGAUUCCAUCGCGCGACGGUAUAACGCCACACGGACGCCCCGGCCUUGGUCGGGGCGUCUGCAUUUGCGCGCCAGGCGCAG